UAAUACGGAGGGUGCGAGCGUUAUUCGGAAUUACUGGGCGUAAAGCGCGUGCAGGCGGCUUUGCAAGUCUGAUGUGAAAGCCCCGGGCUUAACCCGGGAAGUGCAUUGGAAACUGCAAGGCUUGAGUACUGGAGAGGAAGGGGGAAUUCCCGGUGUAGAGGUGAAAUUCGUAGAGAUCGGGAGGAAUACCAGUGGCGAAGGCGCCCUUCUGGACGGUUACUGACGCUGAGACGCGAAAGCGUGGGGAGCAAACAGG
rnacentral:rRNA from 1 species